UAUUAUAUUGCCAAGACAAUUUCUCACACAAUGCUUCAUUUUCACCUGUAAAUUUGGUCUACUUGGAGCAAAGCGUUUUUUGUUUCGAAUUCAACAUUAUUGUGUAUAUUUGCAAUAAUUUAUUUUUUUUCAAUCAAGUUAAUGCAUCUGAAAACAAAUAUCUGGCUAUCUAAUCUCAUACCCGACAUGGAGCAGAGGCCGUGGUUCGCCAUAUGAUCAAGCCAUCCUAAAGGCUUUCCCUCUUCCCUGGAAUGAAUAUUUGAAUCCUAUCAUAUUUAUAUAUAGCUAAAGUAUUAGUUUCUGGAGAAUACUUUUUAGUUCAUAAUUAUUCUAUCUGAUAUUACUACCCAAUAACUUUGAACUUUAUUGUUGGAGAAAUGGAAAAAUGUUGUAUUUUUUUGCGAAAAUACAGUUGAAACAAAAAUUGAAGCUAACAUUUAUCAAUUAUAAUGAAUAUUGUUGUAACAUAUUUCACAUUUUGUUUUUGUUAGUUUGUAAUCUUCUGCAUUGAUAAUAAAAUAUUAUGUUGCUCAUGGAUGUGCUUUUUCAGGUAUGUUAAAAAUUGUUGUCAAAUUCAAACAAAUCAAAUAAAUAUUUUCUUAUAAAGGUGAUCUGAUAAAAGCUUGAAUAACUAGAAAUGUACCAGAAAAUCAUCUUUGACUUUUCACUAACAUUUGUUCAAAGGUAAAAUAUUACUCAAUUGUUUUUUUGAUUUUCUGCAGUCUUAAUUCCAUCGACUCUUGCAAAUGAAUUAAGUAUUGCUCAAGUAUGAACUCUUAUCAGUGAGGACAUGAGAAAGAUGCUGAUUUACACCACUCAUAUACGAGACAUUUUGACAGUCGUUAAAUCCUGUCCCCUACAUCAAGUUAAAGAUUCUUUUGACUGGAGUGAAAAUAUGCUUGGUAUGAAGAUUUGAAAGGAAUGCAACGACAUGUACGCCCUGGCUGUAAUAACUGAAAACGGAGUAGGAAUGAUUCCUGCGAUAUAAAAUAUGUAUGCCAUGUAAAUGUUAAUAAACAGUACAAAAGCAUUGGAAUAUAAUACGAGCAAUUGAUUUCUAUAACAGUGUUGAAUAAUAUCUGACAUACCGUUACUACAAUUUGAAAUGCCUGAUUAGUAUGGGUAACUUUUUGCACCUUAUAUUCAUUUUAACAUGGUAUCACUUUAAGCCAGGGUGGUCCAAACCUAGGCCCGCGUCGCAUUCGGAGAGGAAUCAAAAAUCGCAUUUCGUGUUGUUUCGUCAUAAAAUUAACCAAAAAAUCUUUUGACACAUUGUUGCAUCACUAAUGUCACUGAAUUGACUAGUGUUAUGGCUUACUGAGGCAACUAUCGAAGUUAAAUGAGCGAAGUUCUUGGCACAAUUGUGGCCCGCGAACAAUGCAAAAGUAAUUUUGUGGCCCGCGGAGUUGCCAAUCCUGGACCAUCCUGCUUUAAGCCUUUUAAGGUAUCUCGUUGAUAAUUUUCUACCCACUUCAAAAUUUUCUUAACACAUCAAAAACUGUUGAUAAUAUAAAAGAAUUUUAAAUAUUUAAUCACGUAAAAAAAGUAGGAAAUUUUGAAAUUUCAUAGUGUCCUCGGAGGACGUAAAAUUUGCGACGAAAAUGGAGGACACAUCCUCCGAAAGGAGAACGUAUGGUCAACCUAUUUAAACAUGACAUCUUGUAUUAUUGUUAAAUAUAUUGCUGUGCACAAAUGUGAUUAAAUCAAAUAUAAUGACUAUUGAAAUGGUAAUUGGACUGCUACUGUCUGCUCCAAC